AGAACGAACGCUGGCGGCAGGCUUAACACAUGCAAGUCGAACGCCCCGCAAGGGGAGUGGCAGACGGGUGAGUAACGCGUGGGAAUCUACCCAAUUCUACGGAACAACAGUUGGAAACGACUGCUAAUACCGUAUACGCCCUACGGGGGAAAGAUUUAUCGGAAUUGGAUGAGCCCGCGUUGGAUUAGCUAGUUGGUGGGGUAAAGCCUACCAAGGCGACGAUCCAUAGCUGGUCUGAGAGGAUGAUCAGCCACAUUGGGACUGAGACACGGCCCAAACUCCUACGGGAGGCAGCAGUGGGGAAUAUUGGACAAUGGGCGCAAGCCUGAUCCAGUCAUGCCGCGUGAGUGAUGAAGGUCUUAGGAUUGUAAAGCUACUUUACCGAGAUGAUAAUGACAGUAUCGGAGAAUAACGCCCGGACUAACUCCGCGCUAGCAGCCGAC
rnacentral:rRNA from 1 species